AGUGAACGCUGGCGGUAGGCCUAACACAUGCAAGUCGAACGGCAGCACAGUAAGAGCUUGCUCUUACGGGUGGCGAGUGGCGGACGGGUGAGGAAUACAUCGGAAUCUACUUUUUCGUGGGGGAUAACGUAGGGAAACUUACGCUAAUACCGCAUACGACCUACGGGUGAAAGCAGGGGAUCUUCGGACUUUGCGCGAUAGAAUGAGCCGAUGUCGGAUUAGCUAGUUGGCGGGGUAAAGGCCCACCAAGGCGACGAUCCGUAGCUGGUCUGAGAGGAUGAUCAGCCACACUGGAACUGAGACACGGUCCAGACUCCUACGGGAGGCAGCAGUGGGGAAUAUUGGACAAUGGGCGCAAGCCUGAUCCAGCCAUACCGCGUGGGUGAAGAAGGCCUUCGGGUUGUAAAGCCCUUUUGUUGGGAAAGAAAAGCAGCAGGUUAAUACCCCGCUGUUCUGACGGUACCCAAAGAAUAAGCACCGGCUAACUUCGUG
rnacentral:rRNA from 1 species